CGACCUUAUAUGUGGCGCCUCUCCAAACUCCCUCGACCGUCCGAACUUCUCCGAUAAUGGACUUCUGCGUUCACCCACCGGGCCAUCCCAAAGGCCCUCUAGGCCUCACAGACAGUCGACCUCCUACAGCAACCAACCAUUCUUCGAGUCUCUCCUGGACUUCUUUCGACCACGGACGACCCUACUCCGAACUUCUUUCGGGCUUCAUCAGCAU
rnacentral:lncRNA from 1 species